GUUCACAUGGACCUUUCAGACGUUAAAAAAAAAAAAAAAUGUUGAUUUUAUAUGCCAAAGUCUUGAAAGGGGCUUGACGGCUUACGGCUUUGGUGUAUUUUUCCAGAUGGCAGAUGCCAUUUUGUGUUUUGCAUAAACUGACUAAAUUUGCUUGCUCUUUGUACUUUUUUCACAGGCAACCAUUCUUUGCUUUCAAUAGGACAGAAGAGCUCCUUGGCACUGGAACCCUCGUGGUCUGGUGAGGGAGGGAUGAGGGAUGUUCUGAGGACCACAGCCAUCAUCCAAAACUUCCUCUGUUCAGAUGGAGGAAAGAGGUUGCACCAGAGCCUUGGAUCUGCUUUGCCUGAGGGAUGGUUCGGACUGUGUGAGUGAGUCACAGAAGGGUCUCAUGGGAACAGAAAGUUUGAGAGAGUUUACUGUUUGUGCAAGAUGA
rnacentral:lncRNA from 1 species